rnacentral:rRNA from 1 species
GACGAACGCUGGCGGCGUGCCUAAUACAUGCAAGUCGAACGAGGUCUUCGGACCUAGUGGCGAACGGGUGAGUAACACGUUGGUACCUACCCCGAAGUGGGAAUAACUGGCCGAAAGGUCGGCUAAUACCGCAUAAUACCGCAAGGUUAAAGCAGUAAUGCGCUUCGGGAGGGGCCUGCGUCCCAUUAGCUAGUUGGUGAGGUAAUUGCUCACCAAGGCAACGAUGGGUAGCUGGAUCGAGAGGUUGACCAGCCACACUGGGACUGAGAUACGGCCCAGACUCCUACGGGAGGCAGCAGUAAGGAAUCUUCCACAAUGGGCGAAAGCCUGACGCAGGCGACGCCGCGUGAGGGAUGACGCCU